rnacentral:misc_RNA from 1 species
AAAGUCGUAACAAGGUUUCCGUAGGUGAACCUGCGGAAGGAUCAUUAACGAAUUUAAUUAUCAUCUCUUUAUGUGAAUUUUGAAUCUUUUUAUUAAGAUUUGAUGCUUCGGCUUUUUCUUAGGGAAAUUUUUAUGAUUUCUCCUAGGAAAAGGCCGGUAGAAAACUCCUUUAAACUUUUUGUCUAAACCUAAGAUUUUAAUAAGUUAAAACUUUCAACAACGGAUCUCUAGGUUCUC